UAAGGAAUAUUGGGCAAUGGACGAAAGUCUGACCCAGCCAUGCCGCGUGGAGGAUGAAGGUCCUCUGGAUUGUAAACUUCUUUUUUCUGGGGCGAAAACCGGUCAUUCUUGACCAUUUGACAGUACCAGAAGAAUAAGCACCGGCUCACUCCGUGCCAGCAGCCGCGGUAAUACGGAGGGUGAACGCGUUAUCCGGAUUCACUGGGUUUAACGGGUGCGUAGGGGGGCAGGUAAGUCCGCGGUGAAAUC
rnacentral:rRNA from 1 species